rnacentral:rRNA from 1 species
CCUACGGGAGGCAGCAGUGGGGAAUAUUGGACAAUGGGCGCAAGCCUGAUCCAGCCAUGCCGCGUGAGUGAUGGAGGCCUUAGGGUUGUAAAGCUCUUUCACCGAUGAAGAUAAUGACGGUAGUCGGAGAAGAAGCCCCGGCUAACUACGUGCCAGCAGCCGCGGUAAU